CCCCGCCGUAAACUUAGAUAUUCCAGUACAACAAAUAUCCGCCAGGGGACUACGAGCGCCAGCUUAAAACCCAAAGGACUUGGCGGUGCUUCAGACCCCCCUAGAGGAGCCUGUUCUAGAACCGAUAACCCCCGUUCAACCUCACUACUCCUUGCUUUUCCCGCCUAUAUACCACCGUCGCCAGCUUACCCUGUGAAGGUACUACAGUAAGCAGAAUGAGUAAUACUCAAAACGUCAGGUCGAGGUGUAGCGUACGAAGUAGGAAGAAAUGGGCUACAUUAUCUGAUCCAGAUUAUUCACGGAAGAUUGUCUGAAACGACAAUCCGAAGGUGGAUUUAGCAGUAAAGGGGGAAUAGAGUGCCCCCUUGAAGCCGGCUCUGAAGCGCGCAC
rnacentral:rRNA from 1 species